CCCCGUCAACAUCGCCCAACACCGUCCUGUCUCUCCACCGCCGGCCCCAUGCCCUAGUGCUCUCUCUCUCUCCGGGCGCCUCUCUUCAACCAGCAGUAGGCGUGUGAGCAUCUCGGGAAGCGGCAAGCCACCCUCCCUGGACUGACUUCCCCCAUCUCCACCGUCCAGCUCUCGAAGACACGCAGCGGCAGCGGCAAUGGUCAAUGCGGCUGAGGUACAACUCUUCCCUCUCUGUCUUUACCUCCCUCCCCCCUCUCUCUCUCUCUCUAGGCUUUGUUGUGAGAGUGGGCUAGUGGGGAACGGGGAGCUCCGGGAGUAGGGAACGGCUACGCCUCUUGCUUUUCUUCAGUUUGAUGUGUACUGCAGCUAGUCUGAUUGUGAGAUACUAUGCAGGCAGAAAAUGUGCUAAUCAAUGUACAAAGUAGAAGCUUGGUAGUAGCAAUAUGAACAUAUUCUAGAAGUUGAGAUCUUGUGUGCAAAUUUUGUUUUUUCCCAUUGCAGUUCUAUCCUUGAAUUCCACCGUCCCGAUAGAAAGGAAUUUGUAGUCAUCAGUAUCGAGUUUUCUUGUCUGGAUGAUCUGAAGACAAAUGAAGAAGAGUUUAACUAUAAAGUUAAUACACAAAAAGAGCGCUGAGGAGCUAAAUAUUGUCAUGCAUAUGGAUUGACCUUGCCAACAGUAUGUAUUACUUCAUUAAAAAGCAUCAUCUUGACUUUUAGAAUCAUGUUUCCUUUAAAAACAUGCAACUCAGACAUACAUCCAAAAAACUGGAGUCUCUGAAAACAUACAACUUAACUGACAUGAUGUUAUACCUAAAUUUCAGUAACAAAAAUUUUGAACUUGAGUUUCUCUUUUGUUUACUAAAGUAGAUUUUGCAGUGAAAGAAAACAUGGCAGAGAGCUGUAAAUAUAUAAAGCACAGCACCUCAAAAGUUGUAGUCUACUUGUUCAUCUGUCUUGUUUUUUCUACAGGUAACAUAGAGGAGCACUGCUGGUAACAUUGAGCCGACAAAGAGAAGUUGUAGAAUAUUUGCUGCAACCACUAGG
rnacentral:lncRNA from 1 species